CGUCCGUGCAGACAAAGGCCUGUUUGAACCUUCAACGUGCGUGGGUCAAAUGAUUGUUUAGGUGACUAGAAGCUGCCGAUGAGCUGCCAGUCCGGAUGGCAGCUAUCAACACUGCAAGGGCCUGCAGGCGCAUCAGCUCUCCUCCCGUUCCUCUACUGCCAUUGGAGACAGGAUGCUUAGUAAAAAGUGGGAGCUCAUGAAGGUGGCACUGUGCACAGAAGGACAGUGUGGCUGACAGUGAGCUGCCCAAGACAACCUGCUGGCUCUCGUGACCAUCUCCGAAAGCCUCUGGAUGGGCUAAUUGACAGGCGUGCCUGGACAUUUAUAAACGGCUGCUCUUAUAUGCACCAU